UCUUCCUCUCUGUCCUCUGGAAUUUGGUUUCUGAGGCACUUAGUAGGUGAUAGCAUGACUGACUGCCUCACUGACCACUUCCAAAUGAGGGGUACUC
ensembl:miRNA